rnacentral:rRNA from 1 species
GAUGAACGCUGGCGGCGUGCUUAACACAUGCAAGUCGAACGGAAAGGCCUGCUUUCCCUUGUGGAUUGCGGGUACUCGAGUGGCGAACGGGUGAGUAACACGUGAGUGAUCUGCCCCCAACUUGGGUAUAAGCCUGGGAAACUGGGUCUAAUUCCCGAUAGGACUGCAGGGUGGUGCCUGUGGUGGAAAACGAUUUUCUAGUGGUUGGGGAUGAGCUCGCGGCCUAUCAGCUUGUUGGUGGGGUAAUGGCCUACCAAGGCGGCGACGGGUAGCCGGCCUGGGAGGGUGGACGGCCACAUUGGGACGGAGAUACGGCCCAGACUCCUACGGGAGGCAGCAGUGGGGAAUAUUGCACAAUGGGCGGAAGCCUGAUGCAGCGGCGCCGCGUGGGGAUGACGGGCUUCGGGUUGUAAACUCCUUUCGACCGCGAGGAAGCCACCUGGUUGGAAGGGUGGUGACGGUAGUGGUAGAAGAAGCACCGGCUAACUACGUG